rnacentral:rRNA from 1 species
GACGAACCGUGCGAGCGUUGUUCGGAAUCACUGGGCUUAAAGGGCGCGUAGGCGGGCCGGCAAGUCCGGGGUGAAAGCCCCCAGCUCAACUGGGGAAGUGCCUCGGAUACUGCCGGCCUCGAGGGAGGUAGGGGCGUGCGGAACUUCCGGUGGAGCGGUGAAAUGCGUAGAUAUCGGAAGGAACACCGGUGGCGAAAGCGGCGCGCUGGACCUCUUCUGACGCUGAGGCGCGAAAGCCAGGGGAGCGAACGGG